CAUUCACAUAAAUACACUGAACAUUUAAAAAAACAUUCCUGCUGUAAAACAGGGACCGACAUGAUGGUGUGAGGGUGUCAGACAGUCUGGCCUCGGCCGUCUGGAUGUCACAGCUGCUCGUCAGAGUCUGGAGGCUGAAACAGAAAGCAGAGUUCAAACAGUCCAGAUGAGAUGAAGAGAGGAAGACGAGCGGCUGAUGAAGAGCAGCGGUCAGACUGUAGAAAGCUCUCAGGUCAGCCUGAGUUACCAUGAAGUCCUGCUGCAGAGUCACAGCCUCACUGAGGUCACUCUGAGGAGGCUCAGCAGGAGUGGAGCUGUGAUUCAGAGUUUGUCCUGAGGGGGGCGCCACAGGAAAGACCAUGGGGCUCACUCUCUGAACUUCUCUGUCUUAAAUAAUAUUAAUAACAACAAACUUUAUUCUUGUUGCGCAA